UGGAAAUCCAUUCAAUCUUAUCUGAUAGCAAUGAUAUUUUACCAACAUUUCUUUGAUAUUACUUUGUAUGUUUAAGUAGACAAAUUCAUAUUUUACAUCCAUUGGAAAGCUCUGCUAUAUGAAAAUAUAAAAUAAGAUCCAGCUCUAGAUUAUAGUAGAGAAAUCAGACUCCGAUCACAGAAUAUGCAAGUACAAAGAAGUGUAAAACUGGUUUGCAGCCAACAAAAUUCUUGCAAAAGUGCAGAAUUGUGGAAUUAAGGACUUCCAAUUCAGUGAUAUCUGAAAUAAGGUCUGGAUUGCUGGCAACCAGGGGACCCAAAUAAGUGUCAGAACAUUUGAUAAUAGUUUGACUACUUACGGUAGGAUGGUGCCAGGGAACUACUGGCAGCAAUAGCAUUGCUGUCGUUGUUAUGGUGCUGGUUUGACCAAUUUACAGGGUUUUUUGUUAGGAACAUUGCUUGAUCUCUACAAUAGAUUGCUGAUUGAAAUACAAUCUAAUUUUUACUUGCAUGAUUUUAAAGUCAGAUGGAAAAAAAGAGUAAAUG